AUUGAACGCUGGCGGCAAGCCUAACACAUGCAAGUCGAACGAGUGGCGGACGGGUGAGCUAUGUCUGGGUAACCGCCCUAGGGAGGGGGAUAACCACUGGAAACGGUAUCUAAUACCGCAUACCAUCGGAUGUGCCCAGAUGGGAUUAGCUAGUAGGUGGGGUAAAGGCUCACCUAGGCGACGACCCCUAGCUGGUCAGAGAGGAUGACCAGCCACACUGGGACGGAGACACGGGCCAGACUCCUACGGGAGGCAGCAGUGGGGAAUAUUGCACAAUGGGCGCAAGCCUGAUGCAGCCAUGCCGCGUGUAUGAAGAAGGCCUUCGGGUUGUAAAGUACUUUCAGCGGGGAGGCGUUACCCGCAGAAGAAGCACCGGCUAACUCCGUGCCAGCAGCCGCGGUAAUAC
rnacentral:rRNA from 1 species